UACGAGGGGGGCAAGCGUUGUUCGGAUUUAUUGGGCGUAAAGAGCGUGUAGGCGGCCAGACAGGUCCGUUGUGAAAACUCGAGGCUCAACCUCGAGACGCCGAUGGAAACCGUCUGGCUAGAGUCCGGAAGAGGAGAGUGGAAUUCCCGGUGUAGCGGUGAAAUGCGCAGAUAUCGGGAAGAACACCCGUGGCUAAGGCGGCUCUCUAGUACGGUACUGACGCUGAGACGCGAAAGCGUGGGGAGCGAACAGG
rnacentral:rRNA from 1 species